CACCUCUUGACCAUAUAAGAGGCCCCGCCUGCCCAGUGAUUUUAUUCAACGGCCGCGGUAUCCCUACCGUGCUAAGGUAGCGUAAUCACUUGUCUUCUAAAUAAAGACUAGUAUGAAAGGCACCACGAGGAUUAAACUGUCUCCUUCCUCUAAUCAGUGAACCUAAUCUCUCCGUGAAGAAGCGGAGGUAUUUCUAUAAGACGAGAAGACCCUAUGGAGCUUAAAACACUCUUCAUGUGCCACAAAUAUACUGAGGUUACCCCCUGGCACACUGAUUGUAUUGUUUUUGGUUGGGGUGACCACGAAGAAUAAACUACCCUUCAUGAUGAAUAAGGAUACCCUUAAACAAAAAGCUACAACUUUACUUAUCAAAAAAUUGACAUUCAUUGACCCAUACUUUGAUCAACGAACCAAGUUACCCUAGGGAUAACAGCGCAAUCCAUUUUAAGAGUUCAUAUCGACAAAUGGGCUUACGACCUCGAUGUUGGAUCAGGGUAUCCCAGUGGUGUAGCCGCUACUAAAGGUUCGUUUGUUCAACGAUUAAAACCCUACGUGAUCUGAUUCCAGACCCGGAUU
rnacentral:rRNA from 1 species